AGCGAACGCCGGCGGCGUGCUUAACACAUGCAAGUCGAGCGAAGGUGUUUCAAGGGUAACCUUGAGAUACACUUAGCGGCGGACGGGUGAGUAAUACGUGGAUAACUUACCUCUAGGCCUGGGAUAACCCCGGGAAACUGGGGCUAAUACCUGAUAAGACCACAUUGUCUACGGACAAAAGGGGUAAAAGGUGGCUGUGCAAACAGCUAUCGCCAAAAGAUAGGUUCACGUCCCAUCAGGCAGUGGUGAGGUAAUGGCUCACCAAACCAAAGACGGGUAGCCGGCCUUGGCGGGUGAACGGCCACACGGGGACUGAGACACGGCCCCGACUCCUACGGGAGGCAGCAGUGGGGAAUAUUGGGCAAUGGGCGCAAGCCUGACCCAGCGACGUCGCGUUGGGGAAGAA
rnacentral:rRNA from 1 species